GACGGGGGAUGCGAGCGUUAUCCGGAAUGAUUGGGCGUAAAGGGUCCGCAGGUGGCCCGGUCAGUCCGCUGUCAAAACCUGGGGCUCAACCCUGGAGAGGCGGCGGAGACCACCGGGCUUGAGUCCGGUAGGGGCAGAGGGAAUUCCCGGUGGAGCGGUGAAAUGCGUAGAGAUCGGGAGGAACAUCAGAGGCGAAGGCGGCGAACUGGAUAGUAACUGACACUGAACUACGAAAGCGUGGGUAGCAAACAGG
rnacentral:rRNA from 1 species